UCACGACUGUUAGCUAAUACUGCGACCACUCGUACUCGCCACCUGUCGAUGUUUCAGCCUCGUCACCGUCGUGGCUUCCAUUCUAUGCAUUGUCGUUAACGUCAUCUCCGCCGUCCGAUAGAUAUUCGAUGGUAUAUUUCGAUGUUACGCCGUAGUGAUUGCGGUUUUUGUGAUCGUUGCGGAGACAGAGUGGUCGUUCAUCACCAAGGGGUGUUUUAGGUUUAACUUGUUCAAAAACUUCUUAUUACCGGUAUAGUAUUUUUAUCCACACACUCAGUUCCCAAGUUCUGGAAGGUUGUCUCUCUUGUUUUAUGCGAAUAUUGAUUUUCGUUUUACUUGCGUACAAUUAUGAGACACUGCAACCCUAAGGUCGUGCCUGAUUGGUUUGAGUUGGCUCGAGAGGUGAAAAUGCCUGGAGGUUUCGGAUUGGGAUUCAAAUUCCCCUUGUGUCGGAUCUUUCAGAAACGUAUAAGAUGUAUGUUGUUAAGUUAGGGGCGCUGUAGAUGUAUGUGCUCUUGUAGAAGGGGAAAGAAAGUAUGCAUUGAAAGUGGUGUUUAAUUGAACCAUGGGGGGCCAAAUUGCCUAUCCAAUGUUACUUUUCAACUAACAUAAGGGGUCACUUUGCUUGAAACCUGUUGGAUCUUGAGCGCCGCCGAGCAGAACUUGAAGCACUGCUGAUUGUUGACAAUCCACAACUGCCCUCUGCUAAGAUGCUACCACGACGGUGAAUGAGAGGAGAGAUCAAUGAAUUCUACAAGUGAUCAUAGUGGCCAGACUCCUCACCACCGAGCCUACAG